rnacentral:rRNA from 1 species
GAUGAACGCUAGCUACAGGCUUAACACAUGCAAGUCGAGGGGAAACGAUAUUGGAAGCUUGCUUCCGAUAGGCGUCGACCGGCGCACGGGUGAGUAACGCGUAUCCAACCUGCCCAUCACUUGGGGAUAACCUUGCGAAAGUAAGACUAAUACCCAAUGACGUCUCUAGAAGACAUCUGAAGGAGAUUAAAGAUUUAUCGGUGAUGGAUGGGGAUGCGUCUGAUUAGCUUGUUGGCGGGGUAACGGCCCACCAAGGCGACGAUCAGUAGGGGUUCUGAGAGGAAGGUCCCCCACAUUGGAACUGAGACACGGUCCAAACUCCUACGGGAGGCAGCAGUGAGGAAUAUUGGUCAAUGGACGAGAGUCUGAACCAGCCAAGUAGCGUGCAGGAUGACGGCCCUAUGGGUGUAAACUGCUUUAUAAGGGAAUAAAGUGAGUCUCGUGAGGCUUUUUGCAUGUACCUUAUGAAUAAGGACCGGCUAAUUCCGUGCCAG